rnacentral:rRNA from 1 species
CCUACGGGAGGCUGCAGUGGGGAAUAUUGGGCAAUGGGCGCAAGCCUGACCCAGCAACGCCGCGUGAAGGAAGAAGGCUUUCGGGUUGUAAACUUCUUUUCUCAGGGACGAAGAAAGUGACGGUACCUGAGGAAUAAGCCACGGCUAACUACGUGCCAGCAGCCGCGGUAAUACGUAGGUGGCAAGCGUUAUCCGGAUUUACUGGGUGUAAAGGGCGUGUAGGCGGGAAAGCAAGUCAGAUGUGAAAACCAUGGGCUCAACCUGUGGCCUGCAUUUGAAACUGUUUUUCUUGAGUACUGGAGAGGCAGACGGAAUGCCUAGUGUAGCGGUGAAAUGCGUAGAUAUUAGGAGGAACACCAGUGGCGAAGGCGGUCUGCUGGACAGUAACUGACGCUGAGGCGCGAAAGCGUGGGGAGCAAACAGGAUUAGAUACCCGGGUAGUC